rnacentral:rRNA from 1 species
UGGGGAAUAUUGGACAAUGGGCGCAAGCCUGAUCCAGCCAUGCCGCGUGAGUGAUGAAGGCCCUAGGGUUGUAAAGCUCUUUCGCCAGGGACGAUAAUGACGGUACCUGGAUAAGAAGCCCCGGCUAACUUCGUGCCAGCAGCCGCGGUAAUACGAAGGGGGCUAGCGUUGUUCGGAAUCACUGGGCGUAAAGCGCACGUAGGCGGAUCUUUAAGUCAGGGGUGAAAUCCCGAGGCUCAACCUCGGAACUGCCUUUGAUACUGGAGGUCUCGAGUCCGGGAGAGGUGAGUGGAACUGCGAGUGUAGAGGUGAAAUUCGUAGAUAUUCGCAAGAACACCAGUGGCGAAGGCGGCUCACUGGCCCGGAACUGACGCCGAGGUGCGAAAGCGUGGGGAGCAAACAGGAUUAGAUACCCUGGUAGUCCACGCCGUAAACGAUGGAUGCUAGCCGUUGGGGAGCUUGCUCUUCAGUGGCGCAGCUAACGCUUUAAGCAUCCCGCCUGGGGAGUACGGUCGCAAGAUUA